GACGAACGCUGGCGGCGUGCUUAACACAUGCAAGUCGAGCGGAAAGGCUCCUUCGGGGGUACUCGAGCGGCGAACGGGUGAGUAACACGUGAGUAAUCUGCCCUUGGCUUUGGGAUAACUACCGGAAACGGUGGCUAAUACCGGAUACGACCACUCCUUGCAGGAGGUGGUGGUGGAAAGUUUUUUCGGCCAGGGAUGUGCUCGCGGCCUAUCAGCUUGUUGGUGGGGUAAUGGCCUACCAAGGCUUCGACGGGUAGCCGGCCUGAGAGGGUGACCGGCCACACUGGGACUGAGACACGGCCCAGACUCCUACGGGAGGCAGCAGUGGGGAAUAUUGGACAAUGGGCGGAAGCCUGAUCCAGCAACGCCGCGUGAGGGAUGACGGCCUUCGGUGGUAACCUACUUCUAGUACCGACGAAGACGCCGACUGA
rnacentral:rRNA from 1 species